rnacentral:rRNA from 1 species
UACGUAGGGGGCAAGCGUUGUCCGGAAUCAUUGGGCGUAAAGAGCGUGUAGGCGGCCCGGUAAGUCCGCUGUGAAAGUCCAGGGCUCAACCCUGGGAUGCCGGUCGAUACUGCCGGACUAGAGUUCGGAAGAGGCGAGUGGAAUUCCCGGUGUAGCGGUGAAAUGCGCAGAUAUCAGGAGGAACACCUAUGGCGAAGGCAGCUCGCUGGGACGUAACUGACGCUGAGACGCGAAAGCGUGGGGAGCAAACAGG